GACGAACGCUGGCGGCGUGCUUAACACAUGCAAGUCGAACGGAAAGGCCCUGCUUUUGUGGGGUGCUCGAGUGGCGAACGGGUGAGUAACACGUGAGUAACCUGCCCUUGACUUUGGGAUAACUUCAGGAAACUGGGGCUAAUACCGGAUAGGAGCUCCUGCUGCAUGGUGGGGGUUGGAAAGUUUCGGCGGUUGGGGAUGGACUCGCGGCUUAUCAGCUUGUUGGUGGGGUAGUGGCUUACCAAGGCUUUGACGGGUAGCCGGCCUGAGAGGGUGACCGGCCACAUUGGGACUGAGAUACGGCCCAGACUCCUACGGGAGGCAGCAGUGGGGAAUAUUGCACAAUGGGCGGAAGCCUGAUACAGCAACGCCGCGUGUGGGAUGACGGCCUUCGGGUUGUAAACCGCUUUCGCCUGUGACGAAGCGUGAGUGACGGUAAUGGGUAAAGAAGCACCGGCUAACUACGUG
rnacentral:rRNA from 1 species